rnacentral:rRNA from 1 species
UGGGGAAUAUUGGACAAUGGGCGAAAGCCUGAUCCAGCCAUGCCGCGUGUGUGAAGAAGGCCUUUUGGUUGUAAAGCACUUUAAGUGGGGAGGAAAAGCUUGUGGUUAAUACCCAUAAGCCCUGACGUUACCCACAGAAUAAGCACCGGCUAACUCUGUGCCAGCAGCCGCGGUAAUACAGAGGGUGCAAGCGUUAAUCGGAAUUACUGGGCGUAAAGCGCGCGUAGGUGGUUAUUUAAGUCAGAUGUGAAAGCCCCGGGCUUAACCUGGGAACUGCAUCUGAUACUGGAUAACUAGAGUAGGUGAGAGGGGAGUAGAAUUCCAGGUGUAGCGGUGAAAUGCGUAGAGAUCUGGAGGAAUACCGAUGGCGAAGGCAGCUCCCUGGCAUCAUACUGACACUGAGGUGCGAAAGCGUGGGUAGCAAACAGGAUUAGAUACCCUGGUAGUCCACGCCGUAAACGGUGUCUACCAGUCGUUGGGUCUUUUAAAGACUUAGUGACGCAGUUAACGCAAUAAGUAGACCGCCUGGGGAGUACGGCCGCAAGGUUA